rfam:Colius striatus contig66306, whole genome shotgun sequence.
GAAGAAGCAAAAUGAUGAGUUAGACUUGCAUGAGCCAAGGUGAGUGAGGUGUGUGUGUGCAGUUGUGUGAUGGUUGGUUGUGAGAGUUGUGUGCCUUAUAAUUGGGCCAUGAUUGCUAAACUGAUAAGAUCUGAUUGCUUC